AUGAAAAUGCUCACCACUAAGAAUGAUGGUGCAAGAGGUGUGAGAGAACAUAUCAUGGCUUUGAACGAUAUGGUCGCAAAAUUAAAGGGCAUGUACAUGGAGAUUUCUGAGGGCUUUUUGGUUCGUUUCAUUAUGACUUCCCUUCCUGUGGAGUUUGGUCCAUUCAAGAUCAACUAUAACACACAAAAGGAGAAGUGGACCAUGGGUGAGCUCAUGGCUAUGUGCGUUCAAGAAGAGGAGCGACAUAAGAUUGAGAGAAUAGAUUACGCUCAUCUUACUUCCAUGAACUCAGGGAAGAGAAAGUUUAAUGGUGAAAAUAAGACUUAG
rnacentral:rRNA from 1 species